UUUAUUUCCCCAUUUAACAUUUUACAAUGGCAGGAAAAGCUGAAACCCCUGGAAAUUCAAAAUGCUGAGAAGUGAAUGUGAGACAGACUAUUCUGUUUUCAUUUCCCAAGGCCUAUUGAAUCUCAAAUUUCUUUUCCAUUGAAGGAUCAGCUUCAAAGGACACUCAAAGGAAUUCAAGCAUUGCGUUUACUCUUCCUGGACUGGAUCAACAUGAGUUCAUCAGUGCAUGCCCCAGAUUCCUGUUCCUGAUGGCACCACGAUGCAGG